rnacentral:lncRNA from 1 species
GUAUUUUAACUUUGUUUGCGGAGUGAAGAUCGAGAUUUCCGUUGGUAAUUUGAUUUUAUAUAUGGAAUAGAGAUCUAGAUUUCCAACAAUCGAAAAGAGCACAUGCCAGGAAUAAAUCAAACAAAGAGAGCGCAGCGGAAAAAGUAAAGAACCAUCAAACAGAUCAUAGUGCAACAAUCGAUGAACAAUUGAGGCUAAGGAGAAUCAAAGGAACCCCAAACUUGUUAAUGCAAGGAGGAGCAGAGUGGAGGGAACUAGCUAGAUGAAGACAUGAGGUGCAUGCAUGUGCAUAGGGGCGUCUUCCACAAAAGCGCUUGGAGGCUCACUACUCAUGUGCCAUGGUCACAUUCGUUCAGUAUAAAGCCCACAAGCCAACACAUGAGGUCGCCUGAGGCGUGCUAAUUACAACAUAGACACUAAAAUGUCAAUAAUGUUUCUCUGCAUGGAGAUCCAAAAGAAAACACUUAUAUCAAGUAACCUUCGAGUUUCAUUGAUCCGCUCAUCCACAUCGAUGAGAUAAUGUGUUUCCUAUAGGGGUAUGCAUGGUUUCGUUCGACUAGGUUUUAUGGUAAAACAGAAACCAUGACCUACUUAGUCGAGUUCAAAGGGAUAUGCAUGACUUAG